UCAGAAUCAACGCUGGCGGCGUGCCUAACACAUGCAAGUCGAACGAGAAAGUCUCCGCAAGGGGAUGAGUAAAGUGGCGAACGGGUGAGUAGCACGUAGCUAACCUGCCCUCGAUGGGGGAUAACCUGGGAAACCCGGGCUAAUACCGCAUCACAUCCCGAUGACGCAGGUCGUCGGGAUCAAAGGCCCGCAAGGGUCGCUGGAGGAGGGGGCUGCGGCCGAUUAGCUAGUUGGUGAGGUAACGGCUCACCAAGGCGAUGAUCGGUAGCCGGCCUGAGAGGGCGCACGGCCACACUGGCGCUGAAACACGGGCCAGACUCCUACGGGAGGCAGCAGUGGGGAAUUUUGCACAAUGCCCGAAAGGGUGAUGCAGCCAACGCCGCGUGAGGGAUGAAGGCCUUCGGGUCGUAAACCUCUUUCGACCGGGAAAAACGGGCUGGUGAAGAGCCAGUCCUGAUGGUACUGGUGGAAGAAGCCCCGGCUAACUACGUGCCAGCCGCCGC
rnacentral:rRNA from 1 species